GCGGGGAGGGCUGGGGCUGGCGGACAGCGGCCGUCUCGGUGACAGCAGGACGCUGCUGCUAUUUGCUAAAAGCCCCUGAACACUGUCCUCCACCCCGUCCCUUGAAGAGUUUGCAAUCUGUAGAAGAAACAAGGCAGGGAUAUAUACUUUUUCACUAAAAGAGAAUUACGGGUUUCUUUUUUUUAAACCCACACUAACAGUUAAAAAAAAAAAAAGAAAAAAGAAAAAAAGAAAAAACCUCAAACGACGAAAGUUGAAACUCACUGGCUGGUCUAGAAAGGGCUUCCAGCAGUCUGGCUGUGUGCCAAGCUUUGUCCACCAGCUUGAAACUUGGACAUCCAUGUUAAAACUUUAAAAACAUUACUUGAAUUACAACUACAUGAGAAGUUUAAACGAAAUUCUAAGUGAGCCCAACUGUCACAGAUCCUGAAUUUCAGGAAAUAAGGAUAGUUCAUAGAUCCCGAGGAUCACCAGGAGGAUCAGGAUCAUCAGGAUCAUUAGGAAGAUCGUGCAGGGAAGGAUGCUAUCAAGAGGAAGAAGGGACAUGAUCAAUGAAAGUCUCUGAUGAGACAAAAGCAAAUUGGUUCAAGAGUACAGAGGAACAUCCUUUGGAACAGAAACAUCAAACAGUGGUACCUUAUCCCAAAGUAGUGCAGUUGGUUCUGCCUUACACAGGAUACAAGGUCUCUAAAGACACAGUUAUCUCAAGGUCGUUCAAGCCCUCAGUUAGACCCUUUGAGAAAAAGCCCAACCAUGGAACAAGCAGUACAGACCGCCUCAGCCCACUUACCUGCUCCAGCACCUGCUGGGAGAAGGAGCCCUGUAUCAACCAGGCCUUUGCCAUCUACCAGCCAAAAAGCAGUAGGGAAUCAAGAGCACAGGCGAGCCCAAGUACACAGAGUUUCAAGGCCAGAAAAUGAGCAACUCAGAAAUGAUAGCAAGAGACAAGUUGCUCCAGGUGCUCCCUCAGCUCCAAGAAGAGGGCGUGGGGGUCAUCGAGGUGGCAGGGGAACGCGGGGAGUUAGCUACGCUCCCGGCAAAGAGGUUUUCUCUUCCGAUCAGGU